CUUUAUUAAUUUUUUAUAUAUAAUUUAUAUUAAAUAUAAAAAUAUAUUUUUUAAAUAAAAAGACGAUAAGACCCUAUUAAAUUUUACUUAUAGUUUAACUGGGGAAGUUUUAAAAAUAAAAUUUUUUAUAAAAAUAAAAAUAAAUCUAAUAAAAUUAAAAUUAAAUUAAAUUACUAUAGGGAUAACAGCAUUAUAUUUUUUAAAAGUUCAUAUUAAAAAAAAUGAUUGUGACCUCGAUGUUGAAUUAUAUUUUCUUUAUUAAUGCAAUAAUUAUAAAAGUAGAUCUGUUCGAUCUUUAAAAUAUUACAUGAUUUGAGUUCAAACCGGUGUAAACCAGGUUGGUUUCUAUCUUUUUAUAAAUUCAUAUAUAUAUAUAUAUAUAUAAAUUUUUCAAGUACGAAAGGAAAAAAAAAUUUUUAUUUUAAUUAAUUAGCAAUUAAUAUGCAUUAGAUUUAGAAUCUAAAUAAACUAUU
rnacentral:misc_RNA from 1 species